rnacentral:rRNA from 1 species
AUUGAACGCUGGCGGCAGGCCUAACACAUGCAAGUCGAGCGAGCGGCGGACGGGUGAGUAAUGUCUGGGAAACUGCCUGAUGGAGGGGGAUAACUUUUGGAAACCGUAGCUAAUACCCCAUAUCAUCAGAUCUUCUCAGAUGGGAUUAGCUAGUGGGUGAGGUAACGGCUCACCUAGGCGACGAUCCCUAGCUGGUCUGAGAGGAUGACCAGCCACACUGGAACUGAGACACGGUCCAGACUCCUACGGGAGGCAGCAGUGGGGAAUCUUGCGCAAUGGGCGAAAGCCUGACACAGCCAUGCCGCGUGUGUGAAGAAGGCCUUCGGGUUGUAAAGCACUUUCAGCGGGGAGGCGUUACCCGAAGAGGAAGCACCGGCUAACUCCGUGCCAGCAGCCGCGGUAAUAC